GGAUUAGAUACCCUGGUAGUCCACGCCGUAAACGAUGUCUACUAGCCGUUGGGAGCCUUGAGCUCUUAGUGGCGCAGCUAACGCACUAAGUAGACCGCCUGGGGAGUACGGUCGCAAGAUUAAAACUCAAAUGAAUUGACGGGGGCCCGCACAAGCGGUGGAGCAUGUGGUUUAAUUCGACGCAACGCGAAGAACCUUACCAGGUCUUGACAUCCUAGAAACUUUCCAGAGAUGGAUUGGUGCCUUCGGGAAUCUAGAGACAGGUGCUGCAUGGCUGUCGUCAGCUCGUGCUG
rnacentral:rRNA from 1 species